rnacentral:rRNA from 1 species
AGCGUAGGUGGACUUGUAAGUCAGUGGUGAAAGCCCAUCGCUCAACGAUGGAACUGCCAUUGAUACUGUAAGACUUGAAUUUUUGUGAAGUAACUAGAAUAUGUAGUGUAGCGGUGAAAUGCUUAGAUAUUACAUGGAAUACCAAUUGCGAAGGCAGGUUACUAACAAACGAUUGACGCUGAUGGACGAAAGCGUGGGGAGCGAACAGGAUUAGAUACCCUAGUA